CCCCGUCAGUGGAUCCACCAGCAGGGUGGGCGGGGUCACUAGAUCCGGCGGCCCCAGCCUCCUCGCUAGCCAAUGCGACGGCGACA
rnacentral:pre_miRNA from 1 species